rnacentral:lncRNA from 1 species
GGAAUGAAAACAUGGGAAAAGCUAUUGGAACAAGUGGCAGGAGGGAAGAUGAGCUCUGUGCUUUCAGGAUUUUCAGAUACUUUGGUUAAGUCAGUGCCCCAAGAAAGACUGGAAGUGGUGGAUGCAGCUAUAAGAUGAAGGAACCUGAACAAUCCAUGAACAGGAGGAGUUUGAGCAGCAAGAAAGAGAAAGAACUCGCAAGUGAAG